ACAGACAUCCACUCACGAACUUGCCGAACAAGACACAAGCCCGCACGUAGCCCGUGAUUCGGUUAUACGUCAUUUUGUCCUCAAUUUUCGCGUACAUAAAAUCCUACGUCCGGUCCAAUCAGGAACUCGGCGAAAAACGGCUCUAUGGGCCGAAAUUCACGAGCCAUCGCGAACGCGCACACAAGUAGGCAGAUUUUCGUGUUGAUUUCCAUGACUGAGACUCAAAAAUCCACCUAGAAAAGAUAAUGGUUUAGAAAAUGAAUGAAUGAAGAACAAUGGCAUAAUUUGCUCGACGCACUUUGUAACGUCGUCUCGGUCGGUGCGGAAAAUUUUGUUCCUAAGAUAUCAAGGAACAUGAUUGAGCUGAGGUUAUUCCAAGUUUUUGACCUUACUAAAUACGCACAUUUGUGAGUCUGUACGGCAUGAUUUUGUAACUCGUAAGUAAUUUGAAAGAAUGAAGUGAAAUAGUCUAGUUUACGGCAUGGGUAAUUUUCUUAUGAAAAUUCCAAAAAUUACUUUAAAAAUCUUCUAAAAUGUAUUUAAAACAAAAAAAAGGUCACGUUUAAUCUUUCCAUGUCAUCUAAUAGCUCCCAACGGUUUAGCAAUGUUUUAAAAAAAAUAAAAACCUACUUUAACAAAUUUUAA